GCGGCCGUGGCGGAAUUGGUAGACGCGCAGCGUUGAGGUCGCUGUGGACGAAAGUCCGUGGAAGUUCGAGUCUUCUCGGCCGCACCA
rnacentral:tRNA from 1 species